rnacentral:tRNA from 1 species
UGUAGCUCAGAGGUAGAGCACCUGUCUACCACAGAUUAGGCCCUGAGUUCGAUCCUCAGCA